UACGUAGGGUGCGAGCGUUGUCCGGAAUUAUUGGGCGUAAAGAGCUUGUAGGCGGUCUGUCGCGUCUGCUGUGAAAAUCCGGGGCUCAACCCCGGACUUGCAGUGGGUACGGGCAGACUAGAGUGUGGUAGGGGAGACUGGAAUUCCUGGUGUAGCGGUGAAAUGCGCAGAUAUCAGGAGGAACACCGAUGGCGAAGGCAGGUCUCUGGGCCACUACUGACGCUGGAG
rnacentral:rRNA from 1 species